UACGGGGGGGGGCAAGCGUUGUUCGGAAUUACUGGGCGUAAAGGCUCGUAGGCGGCCAACUAAGUCAUACGUGAAAUCCCUCGGCUUAACCGGGGAACUGCGUCUGAUACUGGAUGGCUUGAGUUCGGGAGAGGGAUGCGGAAUUCCAGGUGUAGCGGUGAAAUGCGUAGAUAUCUGGAGGAACACCGGUGGCGAAGGCGGCAUCCUGGACCGAUACUGACGCUGAUGAGCGAAAGCCAGGGGAGCAAACGGG
rnacentral:rRNA from 1 species